ACGCUGGCGGCAGGCCUAACACAUGCAAGUCGAGCGGUAGAGAGAAGCUUGCUUCUCUUGAGAGCGGCGGACGGGUGAGUAAUGCCUAGGAAUCUGCCUGGUAGUGGGGGAUAACGUUCGGAAACGGACGCUAAUACCGCAUACGUCCUACGGGAGAAAGCAGGGGACCUUCGGGCCUUGCGCUAUCAGAUGAGCCUAGGUCGGAUUAGCUAGUUGGUGAGGUAAUGGCUCACCAAGGCGACGAUCCGUAACUGGUCUGAGAGGAUGAUCAGUCACACUAGAACUGAGACACGGUCCAGACUCCUACGGGAGGCAGCAGUGGGGAAUAUUGGACAAUGGGCGAAAGCCUGAUCCAGCCAUGCCGCGUGUGUGAAGAAGGUCUUCGGAUUGUAAAGCACUUUAAGUUGGGAGGAAGGGUUGUAGAUUAAUACUCUGCAAUUUUGACGUUACCGACAGAAUAAGCACCGGCUAACUCUGUGCCAGCAGCCGCGGUAAUACAGAGGGUGCAAGCGUUAAUCGGAAUUACUGGGCGUAAAGCGCGCGUAGGUGGUUUGUUAAGUUGGAUGUGAAAUCCCCGGGCUCAACCUGGGAACUGCAUUCAAAACUGACUGACUAGAGUAUGGUAGAGGGUGGUGGAAUUUCCUGUGUAGCGGUGAAAUGCGUAGAUAUAGGAAGGAACACCAGUGGCGAAGGCGACCACCUGGACUAAUACUGACACUGAGGUGCGAAAGCGUGGGGAGCAAAC
rnacentral:rRNA from 1 species